UGCUGGAGGUAUCAGAAGUGCGAAUGCUGACAUAAGUAACGAUAAAGCGGGUGAAAAGCCCGCUCGCCGGAAGACCAAGGGUUCCUGUCCAACGUUAAUCGGGGCAGGGUGAGUCGACCCCUAAGGCGAGGCCGAAAGGCGUAGUCGAUGGGAAACGGGUUAAUAUUCCCGUACUUGGUGUUACUGCGAAGGGGGGACGGAGAAGGCUAUGUUGGCCGGGCGACGGUUGUCCCGGUUUAAGCGUGUAGGUGUGUGUUCCAGGUAAAUCCGGUUCACUUUAACACUGAGGCGUGAUGACGAGGCACCACGGUGCUGAAGCAACAAAUGCCCUGCUUCCAGGAAAAGCCUCUAAGCCUCAGGUAACAUCAAAUCGUACCCCAAACCGACACAGGUGGUCAGGUAGAGAAUACCAAGGCGCUUGAGAGAACUCGGGUGAAGGAACUAGGCAAAAUGGUGCCGUAACUUCGGGAGAAGGCACGCUGACACGUAGGUGAAGUGGUUUACCCAUGGAGCUGAAGUCAGUCGAAGAUACCAGCUGGCUGCAACUGUUUAUUAAAAACACAGCACUGUGCAAACACGAAAGUGGACGUAUACGGUGUGACGCCUGCCCGGUGCCGGAAGGUUAAUUGAUGGGGUCAGCGCAAGCGAAGCUCCUGAUCGAAGCCCCGGUAAACGGCGGCCGUAACUAUAACGGUCCUAAGGUAGCGAAAUUCCUUGUCGGGUAAGUUCCGACCUGCACGAAUGGCGUAAUGAUGGCCAGGCUGUCUCCACCCGGGACUCAGUGAAAUUGAACUCGCUGUGAAGAUGCAGUGUACCCGCGGCAAGACGGAAAGACCCCGUGAACCUUUACUAUAGCUUGACACUGAACACUGGUCCUUGAUGUGCAGGAUAGGUGGGAGGCUUUGAAGUGUGGACGCCAGUCUGCAUGGAGCCAUCCUUGAAAUACCACCCUUUAAUGGCUGGUGUUCUAACGUGGGCCCGUGAACCGGGUUGCGGACAGUGUCUGGUGGGUAGUUUGACUGGGGCGGUCUCCUCCUAAAGAGUAACGGAGGAGCACGAAGGUUGGCUAAUCCUGGUCGGACAUCAGGAGGUUAGUGCAAUGGCAUAAGCCAGCUUGACUGCGAGCGUGACGGCGCGAGCAGGUGCGAAAGCAGGUCAUAGUGAUCCGGUGGUUCUGAAUGGAAGGGCCAUCGCUCAACGGAUAAAAGGUACUCCGGGGAUAACAGGCUGAUACCGCCCAAGAGUUCAUAUCGACGGCGGUGUUUGGCACCUCGAUGUCGGCUCAUCACAUCCUGGGGCUGAAGUAGGUCCCAAGGGUAUGGCUGUUCGCCAUUUAAAGUGGUACGCGAGCUGGGUUUAGAACGUCGUGAGACAGUUCGGUCCCUAUCUGCCGUGGGCGCUGGAAGAUUGAGGGGGGCUGCUCCUAGUACGAGAGGACCGGAGUGGACGCAUCACUGGUGUUCGGGUUGUCAUGCCAAUGGCACUGCCCGGUAGCUACAUGCGGAAGAGAUAAGUGCUGAAAGCAUCUAAGCACGAAACUUGCCCCGAGAUGAAUCUUCCCUGAGCCUUUAAGGCUCCUGAAGGAACGUUGAAGACGACGACGUUGAUAGGCCGGGUGUGUAAGCGCAGCGAUGCGUUGAGCUAACCGGUACUAAUGAACCGUGAGGCUUAACCUU
rnacentral:rRNA from 1 species